AUUAGAGGUGGUGAUCAGGUCAUUGUUUGUCAGACUUGUUUUUACACUUUGUCAGCUUUCUUGAAAAUCAUCUUGAAGGCUAAUUUAACACUUUGAAUCACUAAGACUGUCCAUCUGAGUUAGAAGAGUGCUAUAGAAAGUUACAUUCAGAUUGAAGUGGACCUUGGUAAAAAGUGCUGGUAUCACUCUAUAUUUGCCUGCCCCAUUCUUCGUCAGCAAACAACAGAUAACAAUCCACCCAUGAAAUUGGUCUGUGGUCAUAUUAUAUCAAGAGAUGCCCUGAAUAAAAUGUUUAAUGGUAGCAAAUUAAAAUGUCCCUACUGUCCAAUGGAACAAAGUCCAGGAGAUGCCAAACAGAUAUUUUUCUGAAGAGAUAACUUUAGCUUGCAAUUUGUAAGUGAAACUGAAUCGUGGGUGCAUUUCAGAAGAGAACGUUCCAUAUAAUGCAGCUAACCAAGGACUCCUGUGUUUCUAUAAGCUAAUGCUCCAGAAACUUUGCCAACCUGUUAGUGUACACACACUGAGGGGAGUGCUCCCAGUGAAUAUUAUCAUAGG
rnacentral:sRNA from 1 species